rnacentral:rRNA from 1 species
UACGUAGGGUGCAAGCGUUGUCCGGAAUUAUUGGGCGUAAAGAGCUCGUAGGCGGUUUGUCACGUCGGAUGUGAAACCCUGAGGCUCAACCUCAGGCCUGCAUUCGAUACGGGCAGACUAGAAUUCGGCAGGGGAGACUGGAAUUCCUGGUGUAGCGGUGAAAUGCGCAGAUAUCAGGAGGAACACCGGUGGUGUAGACGGCUUUCUGGACCGUAACUGACGCUGAGACACGAAAGCGUGGGUAGCAAACAGG